UUUUAGAAUUUAAUUUAAAGUCUAACCUGCCCACUGAAAAAUUUUAAAUGGCCGCAGUAUCUUAACUGUGCAAAGGUAGCAUAAUCAUUAGUCUUUUAAUUGAAGGCUGGAAUGAAUGGUUGGAUGAAAUAUUAACUGUUUCAUAAAAAUUUAUAAUAGAAUUUUAUUUUUUAGUCAAAAAGCUAAAAUAUUAUUAAAAGACGAGAAGACCCUAUAAAUCUUUAUAUUUAAAUAAUAUUAAUUAUCUAGAUAAAUUAAAUUAUUAUUAUUUUAAAUAUUUUAUUGGGGUGAUAUUAAAAUUUAAUAAACUUUUAAUUUAUUAUAUACAUAAAUUAAUGAAUUAUUGAUCCAUUUAUAAUGAUUAAAAAAUUAAGUUACUUUAGGGAUAACAGCGUAAUUUUUUUAGAGAGUUCAUAUUGAUAAAAA
rnacentral:rRNA from 1 species